rnacentral:tRNA from 1 species
AAUUAGAUAUCUUAAAUUAAAGAAUUGAAUUUUUAAUUCAAAAAUAAUAAAUGAUUUAUUUCUAAUUA